UCUAGAUCCAACUGCAAUUGUGUUAGCUAGAGAAAAAAGCACUUUGACAGAAGUAGCUUUGUUCUUGGAUAACUUAAGGAGGGAAACCAAUAAUGAAGGGGUUAAAACGACUUGUGGAUUUAGGCAGAGAAAGAAGUGCAGAUUUUACAGCCCUCGUCCCCCUCCUUCUUCUUCUUCUAGGACAGAGUGUAGAGUGAUACAGACAGCUGAGCCCCUCCCAAUUUAUUCAACUAAAAACUGUAGAGUUGAUAAUAAAAGGCAGAAUAUAACUCCUAAAGUUAUUUGUUUUUGGUGCAAUAAACAACAUUAUUUAAGAUCUUGCAGAUAUUUUAUCCGAGAUAUCAAAUCAAAAGCAAAUG